rnacentral:rRNA from 1 species
GCCCGCGGCCUAUCAGCUUGUUGGUGGGGUAGAUGGCUCUACCAUGGCUUCGACGGGUAGCCGGCCUGAGAGGGUGACCGGCCACACUGGGACUGAGACACGGCCCAGACUCCUACGGGAGGCAGCAGUGGGGAAUAUUGCACAAUGGGCGGAAGCCUGAUCCAGCAACGCCGCGUGAGGGAUGACGGCCUUCGGGUUGUAAACCUCUUUCAGCAGGGACGAAGCGCAAGUGACGGUACCUGCAGAAGAAGCACCGGCCAACUACGUGCCAGCAGCCGCGGUAAUACGUAGGGUGCGAGCGUUGUCCGGAAUUAUUGGGCGUAAAGAGCUCGUAGGCGGUUUGUCGCGUCGGUCGUGAAACCUGGGGCUUAACCCUGAGCUUGCUUUCGAUACGGGC